rnacentral:lncRNA from 1 species
CUGGAUUUGCACCUGGGGGCCUGGAUAAGUCAUGAUCAUCUUCCUGUUCCUGUUAGACACAGACACUCUUUGGAGAUUUGAAGAUACCAGAAAAUGUCAUAACCUGGGGGAAUGACAGUGUGUGUGGGGUUUCCAGCACUAGGGCAGGCACGGUAGGAGAGGAAAUUGGGGAGUAGAGGGUCUGUUCUAAAUCCAUGACCUUCAGGAUGAUGAUGUUUUGAAGAGUCUGCUCUGAAAACUGAUUGUCGGUGCCCAGACACCAGGGACUCCGAGGAUUUCCUUCUCGUCAAAGGCUGGCCAGAACUGUCAGAAAGGAAUCAUCAGACAACUUCCAGGGGCUCCUGUAAAGCUCUUUAUGACAGGUUCAAUUGUGGCCUUCCUUCCCCAGGUGUCCAGCAACGACUCUUUCAACUGCAUCCUGACCUGGCUCUCUCCUGUCCUCCUAGCUCCUCAGUCAGUUACUUCCUUCCUGGCCCUGGGCUUCCCCAGGUCCUCAUGCUGUGCCUGUCCCACCCGCAGAGCCUUCCCACUAAAAAUCCCAAGAUAGGGAUUUUCCUCCCUGAUCAGGAGUGGGUUGGAGGGAGAUGCCAGAGUUCUUGGCACAAAGGAAAUUGGGGUUAUCCAUGGAUGUAUAUAGCAAAUGCUGUAUGAGGAGUGUAGAUUUUGCAGAUGGACUUGCUUUAAAACCAUCUUUAAGAUUAUUUGAGAGGCUAAAAUAAAAGACAGUGAAAAUACUAGUGUUAGCAAAGGUGUGGAGCAACCAGACCUCUCAUAUGUAGCUCAUAGGAGCAUACAGCUACGUUGGAAAACUACACAGGAAAACUGGCAGUGUCUACAAAAACUACACAGACCCCUACCUCAUGAUGCAGCAACUCCACUCCUGGGAGUACAUGCCCAGGACAUGAAUAUGUAUGUUCAAUAAAAACAUGUUCUAGAGAUGUUGAUAGCAGCAAUAUAUGCAAUAGUCCCAAACUGUAAAUGAUUGAAUGCAUAUUGAUAAGAGAACAAAUAAAUAACUUGUUGUAGGGUCAUACAGUGGAAUACAAUUCAGUAGUAAGAAAAGAACAAACUAGUAUUAUCAUGUUAUGGGCUGAAUCGUGUCCCUCUUCCAAAUUCAUACGUUAAAGCCCUAACUGCUAGUAUGUCAGAAUACAACUGUAUUUGGAGAUAGGGUCUUUAAAUAUGUAAUUAAAUUACAUGAGGUCAUUAGGGCAGGCACUAAUCCAGUAUGACUGGUAUCCUGCUAAGAAGAAGUGCUUAGGGCACAGACACACAAAGGGAAGACCAUGUGAAGAUACAGGGAGAAGGCGGCCAUCUACAAGCCAAAGAAAGAGGCCCCAGAAGAAAUGCAAUCUACCAAAAGUUCAGAGCUUUGGUCUCCAGAACUGUGGGGAAAUAAAUUUCUGUUGUUUA